GGUCUCGUAGCUCAGUAGGAUAGAGCAUCAGAUUCCUAAUCUGAGGGUCGCGCGUUCGAAUCGCGCCGAGAUCACCA
rnacentral:tRNA from 1 species